UUAUUGGUUACCUAUGGUUUUUCUUGUAUUCAAUACCAAUUGUUAAUUAACAUAAUCUUAUUUUCCUUGCGAGGGGUUUACUGGACGCCUAUUUUGUUUCUAAAUGGAUUUGCCUUACCCGACAAGGGUUCGCCUCCAGACUACCAAGGAUGGAAAGGAAUCAUCGAUCCGUUACUAGCGAAGAAGGUGGAGAUUGCUGAGGAGCCUCCUGUACAUUUCUUCCUAUGAGUACAUUGCUCUGUGAAUAUCUGUUUAUUUUCCUCGCGCAUCCAUUCAUGUUGGUUUGUAUGAAGACAAAAAAAUAUUUGUUCUUAAUUUCCAAAUAAUGCUAAAAUUUUGUGGAUAUUGCCUGAGAGAAAGUGGUAUAUAUCCUUGUGGCCUUGAGAACAAUAGGGUAUUUUUGUCACAGUUGAUCCUUUCUGUCGACUUUCAUGUGCAUGUCAACCAAUCUUUCCUGGGUAAUAUCGUGCUGUGUUUGGUUGCAAUUUGAAUUCCUAUACCUUCGCUAAUUGACUUUUGCUUUCAACAUAGACCGGAAGUUUCUUGAUGACAAAGGAAGCAAAAGAAUUCAUAAAG
rnacentral:lncRNA from 1 species